GACACGGCCGAGAAAGGGCCCAGCCCCGCGCGGACCACAGACUGGCAGGCCGGCCAGACAGACGGACAGGCUGACCCCGGCCCGGGGGAGCAGGCGCAGCGGCUGCGCAGGUAAUGUGAAAUGGUGAGACAUGAUUCCUCAGAGCUCUGUUAUCCCACAAGUCUGUGUCUACCAGCCGCACAAGGAAAAUCUUUCACGAGGUUCCUCUCAGUUCCUGUGGCAGACAGACUCUUGGGGAAGUUGCUCACCAUCCCACCUGCUGAUGUCAUGGCUUUCUGUAAUUCCUUCUGUUUGAGUGGUGGGGGUGGGUGGCUGCAGUGGUGCUGUGACUUGCUUCUCACUGGUAGAAUGCAGCAAAGGUGAUGAGAUAGGUGGGAUAGAUGGUGCCAUGUCAGCGAUGACAUGGGUAUAUUAUGUGACAGUGUGGGGCCGGGCACGGUGGCUCAAGCAUGUAAUCCCAGCACUUUGGGGGGCCAAGGUGGGCGGAUCAGGAGGUCAGGAGAUUGAGAACAACCUAGCUAACACGGUGAAACCCUGUCUCUACUAAAAAAUACAAAAAAUUAGCCAGGCGUGAUGGCAGGCGCCUGUAGUCCCAGCUACUUGGGAGGCUGAGGCAGGAGAAUGGCGAGAACCCGGGAGGUGGAGCUUGCAGUGAGCCGAGAUGGCGCCACUGCACUCCAGCCUGGGGGACAGAGUGAGACUCCGUCUCGAAAAAAAAAAAAAAAGAAAGCGUGGCACUUGUCUUGCUGAGUCUCCCUAUGCCUCUCCAUUGGUUUUGAAGAAGCAAGCUGGCAUGUGGCAGCCUGCGGAUGUUGGGAGGCCACACGGCAAGGAACUGCAGCAUCUCUAGGAGCUGAGGGUGGACCCUGACUGGCAGCCAACAACAAACUGAAGCUCUCAAGCCUACCACCAUAAGGAAUUGAAUUCUGCCAAUAACCUGAGUGAGCAUGGAAGCAGAUCCUUUCCCAGCCAAGCCUCAGACAAGGUUCUGGCCCUGGGAAACACCUUGACUGAAGUCUUGUGAGACCAUAGGAAGAAGACUUAGCUGAGCCAGUCUCAGAUCCUGACCCAUAGAACCUGUUAGAUACUUAGCAUGUGUUGUUUUCAGCCUCUGUGUUUGUGGUAAUUUAUUAUACAAUACAUACUGUUCCCCACCCUAAUACUUGAAACUCCUGACCCCAAUCCCUGUGCUCUAUUUACAACUCCAUGCCACCACUGGGGGAAUAAUCCCAUAAUAGUAUCUGUGUGUGGGUAGCUUUACCUGUCUGUAUCUACACAUAGAUCUUGUGACAGUAAAUUUUAUCUAUCAACUUGACUGGGCUAAAGGAUGCCCUUAUAGUUAAUUAAACAUUAUUUCUGGAUAUGUCUGACUAGCAGAGAUUAGCAUUUGGAUUGGUGGACUGAGUGAAGCAGAUGGCCCUCAAUGUCAUCCAAUCCUUGAGGGCCUGAAUAGAGCAAAAAAGGCAGAUGAAGGUUGAUUUUGCUCUUUGCCUGACUGCUUGAGUUGGGACAUUGAUCUCUUGCGCUUGGUGCUUUGGUUCUUAGGCCUUCAGACCUGAGCUGAAAUCUACACCACCGGCUCUCUGACUAUCAGGCUUUGGACUAUACUUUGGGCUUUCCUGGGUCUCUUACCUGGCAGACAGCAGAUUUUGGAACUUUUCAGCCUCCAUAAUCAUGUGAGCAAAAACCUUAUAACAAAUUAUCUAUCUAUCUAUCUAUCUAUCUAUCUAUCUAUCUAUCUAUCUACCUAUCAUCUAUCUAUCAUCUAUCUAUCUAUCUAUCUAUCUAUCUCUCUAUCUAUCUAUCUAUCUAUCAUCUUCUGUUGGUUCCGUUCUCUGGAGAACCCUGACUAAUACAAUUCAUAUUCAAUCACAGGCCUUUAGGAAGUACUUAAUAUGUGCUGAGCACAUACAGAGAUAGGUAAGUCCAGGGUAUCUCUGAGGUGCUCACAGUCUGAAGAGGAAAACAGCCCCAUGAUGCUUGAGCUGUGGAAGGCUCACCUGCAAGGGUGAGCUAGCUGAGGAAAUCAAUGUGUGUCCUGCACUGUAGAAAUCAGUUUGUUUCCCCAGGGUUAUUGCAUUAGAUUCUUAUAAACCUCUAAGGUAGAUGCCUUUUACAGAGAAGGGAGCUGAGCUCUAGAGAGGUUAAGGAACUUGCCUUAGAGGCAAGUCCACUUAGUGUGGGUCAGAUCCAGGAUUCUAACCCAGUUCUUCUGAUUUCAACUUAGUUGGAUAAUUAAAAUUGACUAUAUAUUUCCUUUGUGUUAACAGAUUCUACUGGAACUUCUAGCAGGCAAACUCACCUAGUGCUCUCUGGAAGGUGAUGUGGGUGGAACUCUGUCUGAUUCCAAUGUCUAGAUGCCAAUGAGCUCUCCACCAUCACCCCAGAGACAGGGGAAAGAAGAUAUAAGUAGACCUGGGCCUGUCUUCAUUCACUCUCAGUGAGCACACGGCAGGCAUUCAAGAAAUAUAGAGGCUGAAUUACAUUUUUUUUGAGGGUCUAAACUUUGCCCUCUGUGACUAGGUGUCAUUUGAUAUGGCAAUGAGAAUACAGAGCAGAGAUACUCAAACUCAGGAACCAAAAGAAUCAUCUGAAGAUAACUGUUAAAAUGCAGAUUCUAGGGUCCUCCCUCCAGAGAUUCCGAUUCAGUGGGGCCCAGGAGACAUUUUCAAUUAUACCCUCAGAUUAUUCUGACACAAGUCAAUCACAGAGCACAUGGCUACUUGUGACAAAAUCACAGCCAAGCUAGGUUGAGAUAGUUUGCCUAGACUCUGAUGUGGGUUGUUCCCAAACAUCCCCACUAAUGUUUAUAAUUCCUUUUCCUUAUGGGAGGGAGAGGCCAGUGAUGUGUUGGCAAAUGUUUAAUAACUGGAUCUCUGGUGGAAAAGAAAAAAAAUCCCUGAUUUGCAGCAUUUGCCAAUACCCAUGGUGUAAAUACUCUCACCGUGGCUGAUAGCAAGCUACCAACAGUAGCUUGUUAAGACUGAAUUGGGAAGAGAUGCACAUCAUUGGCCUUUGCAGGUCAGUAGGAGUCAGCUCCAGCAAUCAUUGGAGGGAGGCUGAAUAGGAGAGGAGAGGACUUACCUCCCUGGGCCUCAGUUUUCCCACUUAUAAAAUGAGAAUUCAUGAAGGUUCUGAUCUGUGACUCGAGACUAAUUUUAGGCCUUAGCUCAGGGGCCAUGUGGCCAAAGGAGGUGGUCAGGUUGCCAGGGCACUCAGGGAUGAGGAGGCAGAGUGGGUCAGCUCUGCUUCCUCCUCCCUUCUUGGAGAGGGUGGAGGAGCCCACAACCGGGUGAACAGAGGAGGGGCCUUGGAGUUGGUCCUGCCUCAAAUCUUGAACCAGAUGCUUACUAAAUUUCUGAGAGCCUGUUUCCCUAUCUAUAAACUGGGAAAAUACUACUGUACCUACCCCAUAGAGUGGUUACAAGAAUUAAAUGAGACAAAGUCUGGCAUGUGGUAAGGUUUCUGUAAACAUUAAUCUUUCUUCUUGUGACCAUUUCUUCCCCUGCCCAUGACAUUUAUUUCCCAAAUUCUGCCAGAGCCUGGUUAGACCAGUGGGCCAAUUUCAUUCAUAAGCAGAGUAGUAGGUCACCCAUCACUGUGCAAUUUGAGGUAAAGGUCCUUCAGGCAAAAAAUUAUAUGUGUAUACACACACACACACACACAGAUAUGUGUACAUAUAUUCUCCCACUGGUCUGUCAUAGACUCUGAACUUCCACUAUUUAAAUCUUUAUCAAUGCUCCAUAGCAAAAGACCACCAGGAACACACCCGUAGUCAAAGUUGGUAUUACUACAUGCUGCACAAAGGACAUAACACACCUUGGAGACCAUGGGGCAGCUCAGAAAGAGAGUACCAGGAGAGUUUUUCUCUGGGCCAGGUGCUGUCAGGGAGCAGUGGCAAUUCAGUGAUUAGGCAUUUUAAUUAUUUUUAUCUAAGAGGGGGACGAAUGGAAUGUGGCUAAGGCUGUCAUUGGUAAAGAAAUCACCACACUCAUGUUGACCAGGAGAGGGGGCUGUUUGGUAGUUUUAACGAUUUUGCAGUGUUCUUUUUUUUUCGGUUGUUGUUGUUGUUGUUGUUUUGUUUUGUUUUGAGAUGGAGUCUCGCUCUGUCGCCCAGGGUGGAGUGCAGUGGCACAAUCUUAGCUCACUGCAAUCUCUGCCUCCUGGGUUCAAGUGAUUCUCCUGCCUCAGCCUCCCAAAUAACUGGGAUUAUAGGCAUCCACCACCACACCCGGCUAAUUUUUGUAUUUUUAGUAGAGAUGGGGUUUCACCAUGUUGGCCAGGCUGUUCUUGAACUCCUGACCUCAAGUGAUCCCCCUACUUCGGCUUCCCAAAGUGCUGGGAUUACAUACGUGAGCCACCACGCCUGGCCAGGUUUUUCUCUGUAUUCAGACAUGGUGUGGAGUGAUCUUUUUUUGGUCUUGCUGCCUGUCUUAUGAUUAUAGAGGCUUUGCCUGGUGUCAGUGUUCUGGGAACAUGCUUAUGUUCAGCAGGAGAAUGCCAGGGCCUUGCUGUGAGUGCCAAGCCAGGACACUGCUGAUGCUGAUGGGGCUGCUGUUUUCUUUCUUGUCUUAUUCAUUUGCAAAACCUUUACUGAUGACUUUUACCACAGUCACACAUAUUAUCUCAUUUAAACCUCACAGCAACUCUGUGAGGGAUUGUUAUCUCCAUUUUAUGGAUGAGGAAGCUGACUCUGAGAGAUGACUUUCCAAAUUCAUCCAACUGGAAGAAAAAGGAAGUCUCUGGGGACUUGAAUCCAGAACUGUCCAGCUCCAAGUCCAGGGCUCACUCUAUUAAGCCACUCCAUGAGGAAUGAGUCCCUAAGGAGGCCACAGAAGGCCCUAAGCCCUCUUUUGUUCUCUGGAAGAGAGUGCCAUUUCUUGGCCCUUCCCAAGGCCUUGACAACUGAAGUUCCCAGAAGAACCACAAAGCAUAAAUUUCCCCAAAAGGGGAAUUUUGUUGAUGGCUUUAGUCUAUUCCCUCCUAAAAGACCAGCUACAACCAAAUGAAGUGAACAUAACCUCAAGGGUGUAUUGUCUUCAUAAUAAAAGAUGAAGCUUAGAACUGGAUCACUUGGCCCUUUCUCUUCUGACAUCCUCCCAGUUGA
rnacentral:lncRNA from 10 species